GGCGGGGUUAAAGUGCCAGGAAAUUGCGCGGUCGGACUGGCUAAUACAUCCCAGUGGAAAUUAGCUGGUGGUUGUUUCUGUUGUGCGCGCUGUAGUUUCACGCAUUGUUAUUAACGUAUAUGGCGGUGAGAACUUGUCGGACGGCUCUGACUGGGUGGCAGUGUUUGAGGAAACCCACCUGAUUUUCGGUGCGUCUACGAUUUCACGGUCUUGGACUGAGAGUUUUGUAAGGCCAGCUUCAUGUAAGAGAUUAAGACCGUCAUUCAGAUCAUCUGCCGGGGCUUCAUAAAGUGUUUUAAAGUGUUCUGUUAGGAUGUGUCUAAUUUUUUUAGAAUCUCGGGUCAACCAUCAACAGUAUUAAGUUUUUGUAUAUAUGUGUUGUGGGUACGUUUUUUUGCUAUACAUGCUAAUAAUUUCCCCGUUUUGUUACCACAUCUAAAAUAUUGGUUUGCUGUGUGACUUAAUGUGUGAUAAGCUUUCAAAAAGCUUAUGUGUGAUAAGCUUUUAAUAAAGUAUCAAAAAGAGCCGUAGACUCCCUGUAUUUAUUUUUGUCCACAUCUGUGUUUUUAAAGUUACUGAAAUUGGGGCGUGAUCGGAAACAUCUAUGUUUCCAAUGUUGGCUUUAGUCAAGGACGAUAAAAUCGGUUGUGAUGUGAAAAUGUAAUCUAUUCUCGAAUGUGUUUUGUGUGCCCCUGAAUAGAAUGUGUAAUCUUUGGUGACAGGGCGUGUAUGUCUUUAAGUGUCAUAUAGUUGUAGUGUUUCACACAAUGUGUGCAGAGGUCGUGCUCUAGUUCGUGAGUGGGUUGUGGAUUUACCUGAUUUGUCCAUGAAAUCGUCCCAAACCACAUUGGCGUCUCCUCCCAGGAUGAUGUUUUCCGCCUCCCAAGAGCUCACCUUCUGCAAUACAUUCAUAAAGAAAUGUUUAUUUUGAUCAUUUGGUGCGUAUAGAUUUACUAUUGUGUAUAACACUCCAUUAAGGUCCAGAUCAAUUAUAAGUAGGCGCCUAUUUUUAUCUUGUGCGUGUCCGUAUGUCCGUGUAACAGAACAUUGGAGGUCUUUACUAAUUAGCAUUGCCACCCCUCUCGUCUUCGUUGUGUAUGAUGCGUCUAUUACUGUUUGUAUCCAUUUACUUUUAAGUGUCUGUUUGUCUUUUCUACGCCAGUGGGUCUCUUGUAAGAGAAUGUUCUGGGCUUUCUCCCUUUGGAAUCGGUCUAGCACCUUUCUCCUUUUAACUGGAGAGUUAAGUCCUCCCACGUUCCAUAAAAGUAUAUGAAGGUGAGUUUUAGAUUUUUUAGUUAGGUUAUCUGACCCUACUAUGUUUUGCAUCUUUGUGGUUUAAUCCACUCCUUGUUUUCGAUGUUUCAUUGCAAAUGGUUGUGUAUUCUCGUGGGUUGAUCUGUCCCAGUGAGCAGACCAAUGUCCCUGAGGUAUAUUAAUAUAAGAUCUAUGUGUGAUAAUCACAACUGUAUAUUUUGUAUCUGGAGUCAUUUGAGCUGUAAUAAACAUUUGGCAUAAUAAGAAAAACAAAAAAAAAUAUGCAAUAGACUACAUCAGCAUUUUAGCAAGAAAAGGGGGAAAUAAGAAGGUGAGAAGUGAAAUAGAAGGAGAUAAGAAGGAAGGAAGAAAGAGAUAUCAGCGAAUAUUCUCGCUGUUUCCCUUCGCAAUUGUUCCCUGAAAUCAUCUCUUUUGCAGUAGGGAAACAAGUGAUUAGAAGAGGAAGAAAAAACACAUCUGGAGUCCAGCAAAAUUAACCUUCAGAAAUAUAGAAAGAAUGAAGUUGAUCCUUAUGUAAUUAUGAAACCAGUCUAAGUUCGCAGGUUGUUAGGUUAAAUCUUUAUCUUUGGAUUUCUCUUCAUAAUACGUCAUGGCUUGUGCUGGAGUGUCAAAGUAAAGAAUCUUUCCAUUGUCCUUAUCCACGCCCUUUAGUUUUGCAGGAAAAAGUAGGGAGAAACGGUAUCCUGAAUUGAAAAGGGUUGAGCAAAUUGUUGAAAAUUCCUUUCUUUUUGUUGUGACAGAGGCUGAGAAAUCUUGAAAAAGCAGGAGUCAGUUUCCAUCGUGUUGUAGAUUUUUCGCUUUCCUGUAGGCUGUCAAUAUGUUCAUUUUGUCAGAGUAAUUUAGCAAUUUAAAUAUCACUUGUCUUGGUCUGUUGGAGGUGGUAGUUGGCGGAGAUCCAAUUCUGUGGAAUCUUUCUAUGAGGAAGGCAGAUUGAGUUUCUUCCAUUUUAAGCAAGGCUGGUAAUUCUUUUUUAAUAAAUUUUUCCAGAUCUGUGCCCUUGAUCGAUUCCAAGAGUCCUACUAUCCUGAGGUUAUUACGUCUGCUCCUGUUCUCCAGGUCAUCUACCUUUUCAGUCACGAUAGUAAUCUCCCUCUGUUGUGUUUUUUGUGUGGUAUCCAGUUCGUCUGGAUUCUUUGUUCAGCUUCUGUUAUUUUUUGUGCCUGAUUUGUUACUUGUUGGAGUAUUUCCGUGAUAUUUUAUUUGAUGCCCGCUAGUUUUUGAUCCAGUAAGGGGCCAAGUAUUUGUGUUAGAUCUUGUAUUUGGAUCUGUAGCUGUGUAGUUUGGGAACCGGGUUCAGAGUCGGAAUCCAUUUGAUCAGUAUCCUGUGCUGAUUUCUUAUCUUUAAGUUUUUGCCUUAUUUGUCUCGGUGUCUUUGCAUUAGAUUUACCCAGAUAUUUAUCCAUUUUCUGUUAUAAGUUGGGUAAAGUUAGUAGUUUGCUCAGUGUAGCAAGGUAUUAAUUGUAACGCUUCCCUUUUUCCUGCGCUUGGUAGCUUUUAGUUUUGUUGUUGAUUUUCGUUUCCCUAUGGUAGGGCAGCAAUAGAAAUAUUCAUUCACAAAAAGUUAUCACAUUUUAUAAUAAUAGUAUGAGCAGUUCUUUUUAUAUUUUUUUUUUAGAUUGUCUUGGUUGAAUCCGCUGUCAUUUUAUUAUAUUGUCAUUCUUUGAUGAAGCGGUAGCUACUAUGUUUCUAAAACAAUAUAGUCAUUGUGGUAGAGUAGUUGCAGCCUACGGUACUUUUUAUGAUUGGCUUUUACUGAUGGUAAAUUCUGUGGUAGCUUAAUAUAUCUCCCUCUGAGUGUGAGAUGCAUCAUUUACUAAGGGUAGACAAGUUGCUCACCCUACAAUUGUUUGUAUAGAUGCA